AGGUAAUAGAUACCCGGGUAGUCCACGCCCUAAACGAUGUCAACUAGGUGUUGGAGGAGCAAUCCUUUGGUACCGCAGCUAAACGCGUGAAGUUGACCGCCUGGGGAGCACGGUCGCAAGAUUAAAACUCAAAGGAAUUGACGGGGACCCGCACAAGCGGUGGAUGAUGUGGAUUAAAUUCGAUGCAACGCGAACAACCUUACCUACCCUUGACAUGUCCGGAAGGCUGCUGAAAGGCGGCUGUGCCCGAAAGGGAACUGGAACACAGGUGCUGCAUGGCUGUCGUCAGCUCGUGUCGUGAGAUGUUGGGUUAAGUCCCGCAACGAGCGCAACCCUUGUCCUUAGUUGCUACGCAAGGGCACUCUAAGGAGACUGCCGGUGACAACCGGAGGAAGGUGGGGAUGACGUCAAGUCCUCAUGGCCCUUAUGGGUAGGGCUUCACACGUCAUACAAUGGUCGGUACAGAGGGUAGCCAACCCGGCGAGGGGGUAGCCAAUCCCAGAAAGCCGAUCGUAGUCC
rnacentral:rRNA from 1 species